CAGGACGAACGCUGGCGGCACGCUUAACACAUGCAAGUCGAACGGGAUUUCAGAGCUUGCUCUGAAAUUUAGUGGCGGACGGGUGAGUAACACGUGAGCAACCUACCUCUGAGAGCGGAAUAGCUUCUGGAAACGGAUGGUAAUACCGCAUGACAUUGCGCUACCGCAUGAUAGUGCAAUCAAAUGAAUUUCGCUCAGAGAUGGGCUCGCGCCUGAUUAGCUAGAUGGUGAGGUAACGGCUCACCAUGGCGACGAUCAGUAGCCGGACUGAGAGGUUGAACGGCCACAUUGGGACUGAGACACGGCCCAGACUCCUACGGGAGGCAGCAGUGGGGAAUAUUGCACAAUGGGCGAAAGCCUGAAUGCAGCGAUGCCGCGUGGAGGAAGAAGGUUUUCGGAUUGUAAACUCCUUUUUCAGGGACGAUAAUGACGGUACCUGAAGAAGAAGCUCCGGCUAACUACGUGCCAGCAGCAGC
rnacentral:rRNA from 1 species